CGGGAAUAUUGCGCAAUGGAGGAAACUCUGACGCAGCGACGCCGCGUGAGCGAUGAAGGUCUUCGGAUCGUAAAGCUCUGUCCUCAGGGAAGAAGAAAGUGACGGUACCUGAGGAGGAAGCCCCGGCUAACUACGUGCCAGCAGCCGCGGUAAUACGUAGGGGGCAAGCGUUGUCCGGAAUUAUUGGGCGUAAAGGGUGCGUAGGCGGCUUUUUAAGUCAGAUGUGAAAGACCACAGCUUAACUGUGGGGUUGCAUUUGAAACUGGAGAGCUUGAGUAUCGGAGAGGGUAGUGGAAUUCCUGGAGUAGCGGUGAAAUGCGUAGAUAUCAGGAGGAACACCAGUGGCGAAGGCGACUACCUGGACGAAAACUGACGCUGAGGCACGAAAGCUAGGGGAGCAAAC
rnacentral:rRNA from 1 species